UACGUAGGGUGCAAGCGUUGUCCGGAAUCAUUGGGCGUAAAGCGCACGUAGGCGGCGCUGCAAGUCGGACGUGAAAUCCCUCGGCUCAACCGAGGACGUGCAUCCGAAACUGCAGUGCUCGAGUAUGGAAGAGGGUCGCGGAAUUCUCGGUGUAGAGGUGAAAUUCGUAGAUAUCGGGAGGAACACCAGUGGCGAAGGCGGCGACCUGGGCCAAUACUGACGCUGAGGUGCGAAAGCGUGGGGAGCAAACAGG
rnacentral:rRNA from 1 species